GGCGACCGGCGCACGGGUGAGUAACACGUACCCAACCUGCCGUCUACUCUUGGACGGCCUUCUGAAAGGAAGAUUAAUACAAGAUGGCAUCAUGAGUCCGCAUGUUCACAUGAUUAAAGGUAUUCCGGUAGACGAUGGGGAUGCGUUCCAUUAGAUAGUAGGCGGGGUAACGGCCCACCUAGUCUUCGAUGGAUAGGGGUUCUGAGAGGAAGGUCCCCCACAUUGGAACUGAGACACGGUCCAAACUCCUACGGGAGGCAGCAGUGAGGAAUAUUGGUCAAUGGGCGAGAGCCUGAACCAGCCAAGUAGCGUGAAGGAUGACUGCCCUAUGGGUUGUAAACUUCUUUUAUAAAGGAAUAAAGUCGGGUAUGGAUACCCGUUUGCAUGUACUUUAUGAAUAAGGAUCGGCUAACUCCGGGCCAGCAGCCGCGGUAAUACGGAGGAUCCGAGCGUUAUCCGGAUUUAUUGGGUUUAAAGGGAGCGUAGAUGGAUGUUUAAGUCAGUUGUGAAAGUUUGCGGCUCAACCGUAAAAUUGCAGUUGAUACUGGAUAUCUUGAGUGCAGUUGAGGCAGGCGGAAUUCGUGGUGUAGCGGUGAAAUGCUUAGAUAUCACGAAGAACUCCGAUUGCGAAGGCAGCCUGCUAAGCUGCAACUGACAUUGAGGCUCGAAAGUGUGGGUAUCAAACAGGAUUAGAUACCCUGGUAGUCCACACGGUAAACGAUGAAUACUCGCUGUUUGCGAUAUACAGCAAGCGGCCAAGCGAAAGCGUUAAGUAUUCCACCUGGGGAGUACGCCGGCAACGGUGAAACUCAAAGGAAUUGACGGGGGCCCGCACAAGCGGAGGAACAUGUGGUUUAAUUCGAUGAUACGCGAGGAACCUUACCCGGGCUUAAAUUGCAGAUGAAUUACGGUGAAAGCCGUAAGCCGCAAGGCAUCUGUGAAGGUGCUGCAUGGUUGUCGUCAGCUCGUGCCGUGAGGUGUCGGCUUAAGUGCCAUAACGAGCGCAACCCUUGUUGUCAGUUACUAACAGGUUCCGCUGAGGACUCUGACAAGACUGCCAUCGUAAGAUGUGAGGAAGGUGGGGAUGACGUCAAAUCAGCACGGCCCUUACGUCCGGGGCUACACACGUGUUACAAUGGGGGGUACAGAGGGCCGCUACCACGCGAGUGGAUGCCAAUCCCAAAAACCUCUCUCAGUUCGGACUGGAGUCUGCAACCCGACUCCACGAAGCUGGAUUCGCUAGUAAUCGCGCAUCAGCCACGGCGCGGCGAAUACGUUCCCGGGCCUUGUACACACCGCCCGUCAAGCCAUGGGAGCCGGGGGUACCUGAAGUGCGUAACCGCGAGGAGCGCCCUAGGGUAAAACUGGUGACUGGGGCUAAGUCG
rnacentral:rRNA from 1 species